rnacentral:lncRNA from 1 species
GAGGAAGGACUAACUUAGAUAUUGAUAUAUUACAGUUGUAUUUAACUUAAAAAUUCACGGAGAUAUUGAUGUUAAAAAUGGGGAGCAUAUUUUGGAAUGUGUCUAAAAUUAGCGAAAAUCGGCAUAUCAAAUAUUAACUCCAGCGUUUGUUUGCUUAAUGACAUAUUAGGCUAACUUGUAUUUCAGCGAAUUAUCGUUAAGGUUUGUAAGGGAUAUGGCGUAGAUUUAGACAUCUUACAUGUAAGUCUUAGCUCAUUGUUUCCUGAAAUAUGAACGUUCGAAAUUAUGCAAGUAUUUAAUAUUAGGUCCUUGCAAACUUAAAUGUACAUGAAAGACUGACCAUGGAAGGCAGGCGCUUAAAUUUUUCGUAUUCUUAAAUAGCCUAAUUUUUUUAUGUUUUUAAUGG